AUUGAACGCUGGCGGCGUGCCUAACACAUGCAAGUCGAACGAACGAGAGGAGCUUGCUCCUUGAGUUAGUGGCGCACGGGUGAGUAACACGUGGAUAAUCUACCCUGAAGACCGGGAUAACAGUCGGAAACGACUGCUAAUACCGGAUACGAACUGCUUUUAUCUGUAGUUGAAAGGCGCCUUCAAGCGUCACUUUGGGAUGAGUCCGCGCCUCAUUAGGUAGUUGGUAGGGUAACGGCCUACCAAGCCAACGAUGAGUAGCCGGCCUGAGAGGGUAAUCGGCCACACUGGGACUGGAACACGGCCCAGACUCCUACGGGAGGCAGCAGUGGGGAAUAUUGCGCAAUGGGCGAAAGCCUGACGCAGCGACGCCGCGUGAGGGAUGAAGGCUUUCGGGUCGUAAACCUCUGUCAGAAGGGAAGAAGUGUAGUGAGAGGAAAUGACUCGCUAUUGACGGUACCUUCAGAGGAAGCACCGGCUAACUCCGUGCCAGCCGCCGCCGUAAC
rnacentral:rRNA from 1 species